rfam:Acidaminococcus intestini RyC-MR95, complete genome.
AAUUGUCUUUGGGGCAGGGUGAGAUUCCCAACCGGCGGUACAGUCCGCGAGCCUUCGGGCAUGAAUUGGUGAGAUUCCAAUACCGACAGUAGAGUCUGGAUGAGAAAAGACAGUG